UACAUCAAAACCACUCUAUUAAGCUUAAAUUAUUUUGGUGUAUAGAUCAUGCUCCUGCAGUCUUACUGCUCAAUUCUCUGCCGUUUACGAGUUUGAUCACUUUGUUUAUGCAGCCCUAGUCACAUCUAUGUCUCAGAUACAGUCGCCGUACAAAUGUAAAGAGAGAUCUAAUGUUUAAACUUCCUUUAUUGCACAAACUGUUUAAUUUAGAAUUUCCCAUCACCUGCUCUGUUAUUAGCCUACUAAAGGCAAGCAGGAGCCUCCUGCGCAGGUCCAGAAUGUCAAUAGGGCAAGAUGGGCAAAUGCCUGGUUGGCCGCGAUUGCCCUUGGCAAAGACUUACAGGGCAGAUCAAAGGAUCUCAAAACCUUGAAUUUGCACUAUGUGUUCUAAAAUUGAAGAGUUUCCUCUAUACAUAUUUUGUAUUGGUUUUUAAAGGAC